GCCACUCGGUGGCUCACCCCCAAGGCCAGAGGGCGGUCCCUCAGGCAGGGUUGCUCCUAUGACAUUGCGGCCACUGGCGGGUCUGGGUGCCCCCACCUCCUCCACUGCCUGCACUGUCUUGGCCCAGGACACCGCUGCCUUGGUCCCUGAAUUACCAGCCAUUUCUCCUCGCAAGGGCGGCCUGGGCUUAGCCACCCUUUGCUGGUGGACUCUACGUGAGGGAAAUGACUGUGACCCUGGAGAUGCCCCCAUCCCUCGCUCUGGAGUGGCAGCCGCUGCAUCCUGAGGACACCCAGGCAGUGCCACGGUGAGCUCCGUGUGGCAGGGAACUGAGGCCUCCUGCCAACCGCGGCAAAAUGAGGCAUGAGGGAUGGUAUGUGCCUCCCGGCGGGCUGUGGCCCCCUCAACAUCUCGAAGGUAGCAUCACGAUAGCUCCCAGGCCAGAGCUGUGUCAGACGGCGUGAGGCGCUGUGCAUGGGGACGAUUUCUCACACAGCUGCAGUUCGCACACAGCUCCUCACACCCACCAGACCUCUGCUCGGCCCGGCUGUGUUCCGGUCUCCAGGGCCACAGUUCACCCGCCUGUGCCUCUUAAGAACCCAUGCAGGCUGCUGUCAGGGUAAAAACUCAGCUCGUCCCCAGCACCCCAGGCCCAAGUCACUGGGCAGCUUCUUCUACUCCUGUCUCACUUCCUACGCAUCUCCUGCCCUUGCCCUGCUGGGAGCACCGUGGCACCUGCAGCUCCACCUCUUCCUCACCCUCUGACCGCACUGAAGGAGCCCUCACCCCACUCGCUUUCUCUUAUACUUGUUUUCCUGCACUGGGGAUUGGACCAGGGACUUGUGAAUGCUAGGAAAUGCAUAUGGCGUGAAGGGAGGGAUCUGCCAUGUGCCCUGCUCAGCACAGAACCCAGCCCCAAGGAGGAAGCACCUCUCCUGCCGCACUCACCUUCUCCGACCCAUGCAAGAAGUCAUUGAGGGCCUGAGGGUCACUGGAAGAGAAGAGAGAGGGGCACUGAGGCGUAGAAGACACGUCGCCGUUAAUCCCCCUCGCCUGGAACACAUGGAUCCAUCGUUCUUGCCACAGUCGUGAAGCAGCUCUGCGGGCCUCUUUCAUGUCUUUACCACGUGUGGUCCCAACUGGGGUGAAUGCUGCCACCGAGUGCCACCCGGCGGAAAGGCAGGCGCAUGACAACACGACGCUGUGUCAUCUACCUCAUGCUCUCAAGCUGCCACCAGGUGACUUCCGGCUCGUCCCCAAACUCAAAAUGACAUGAAAGGGAAACGUUCUGAAUUGGUUCAGGACAGUGAGGCUGCCGUGGCAAGUGCAACCCACGACACUCAGGAAAGAAGACUCCAGAACGGCUGCAGAAAGCGACACGAAUGGUGGGACAAAUGUGGUCGAAGCAGGGGAUUAAAAUGGUGCCUAAAACAAGAAGCAUGCACUGUAGUUUCGGUUCACACCUCAUACUGCUGAUUUGCUCACUGAGCUCACAGCUCACUGUCACUGUCCCCGAGGCAUCACAGCCCCGUGCGCCUGGGUACCAAAAGCGCCUCAGCACUGUGGGGACACCCCGAACAGUGAAGCCACUGAAUGAGAAGGCAGACUGUCAGGGGACUCAGAUUUUUUUCACUAUUCUACAUCUGUUUGCAAAGGACCAGAAAGGGCCAUUUUAUGGAGCAGGUGAAUUUGCACACCCGGAACCUGAGGGUGGUGACAGUAAACCACACUGACUGCUGGCCCAGUACCCACCGGGCACUUCUCCCUCGGGAAGUCUCCACUAGGUAGAGGCUUCUACAGUCGUGCCUCUAUACUUGCAGAAACCGAGGCACAGGGUGGGGGUUAGUGAAGUGUCCCAGAUCCUGCAGAGCAACUGGGCCCCACCCUGAGCCACGACCCACAGAGCCCCUCUGGCUACUACAUCCCUUCAGAGCCAUUCAAGUACGGCAGGAACACUGGGAUAGCAUCACCAGACAGGGUGUCGGGGCUGCGCCACCUCACGAAUGCCUGGGAUGUUUCAAGGCUGAGGAAGUGACAGACAGAGCCUCGAGGAACAGAACAGCGGGGAUCUGAGUGGCUUCCCCUCUUCCUCUAGGCAGCCAGGCCGGAGGACGGUCUAAACAGAAGCUGUCCUGAGAACCAGACUGCAGACCCUCUCCACCUGCAGCCCAGGCAGCCGGCAGGUAUGCAGGGCUCCUCAUUCACCCCAGCUCUAAGGACUUAGUCAGGGAUGGGAGGGGGUGGUGGCCAAUGGGUUUCUCCAAAUGGGGCCCAAGGUGAAUUCUCCAGAGGUCUCUGUGAGAGUGUGUGUGUGUGUGUGUGUGUGUGUGUGUGUGUGUGUGUGUGUGUGUGUGUGGUUUUUCCGCCCUCUUGAAAUAGGAUCUCACUUGAUUGCCCAGGCUGGCCCCAAAUGAUCCUCCUGCUUCAGCCUCUCGAGUAGCUUAGAGUACAGGCUUGCUCUUCUGCACCUGACUUCUAAGAGGUUUUAAUUAUUUUGCUUUGUUUUUAUGUUGUUGUUUAUUUUAUUUUAAGAUAGGGUCUUGCUAUGUAGUCUGGGCUGGCCUCCAACUUGUGGCGAUCUUCCUGCCUCAGCUUCCUGAGUGCUGGGAUUACAGGUGUGCGCCACCAUGCCCGGCUUGGUUUGUUUUUCAAGACAGGGUCUUGCUAUAUAUAGUCCAGGCUGGCCUCAAACUUGCAGUCUUCCUGCCUUACCCUCAAGAGUGCGGGAAUUACCGGCAGGAUUAUGGGCAUGUGCCAUUGCACUUGGCUUUUUUGAGUUUUUUAUUUGUAUGGGGGUUUUUUUGGUACCGGAGAUCGAACUCGGGACCUUGGGCUUUCAAGGCAGGCACUGGAACCAAGGAGCUAAAUCCCCGGCCCUUUAUCUGUAUGUUUAUGUUUCAACAAUAAUUUUUUAUUUUGAGAGAGUCUCGCUAGGUAGUCCAGGCUGGCCCUGAACCCACUGUGUAGCCCAGGCUGGCCUCAAACUCACAGCGAUCCCCCCGCCUCAGCCUCUCAGGUCCUGGGAUUACAGGUGUGCACCACCAUGCCCAGCUUCAACAGUAAUCUCAAAGAAGUGAAUGGGCAAACUUUUGGGACAGAAGAAAAUAUCGCGCUCGCAUCAUGAGGGGCAAGCAGCUAGAUACAGAUGAACCUAGCAGCUGUGUAAAGACACAUUCUGAGCACUCCUCGAACAUCAGCUGAGACUAAGCAAUGAGGUUUAGAGUCUGGGUUCCAUAACAGCAGCAUGGGUUUUUUUGUUUGCUUUUCUUAAAGAAUCUUCCUUUUAAGAGCUACAUCACAGCUGAGUGUGGCGGCACUGUAAUCCCAGCACUCUUGAGAGGCUGAAGCAAGAGGAUCUUGAGUUUGAGGGUCAGCCUUCAAAAGACCCUGACUCAAAAAAGGGAAAGGUGGAGCCGGGGAUUUAGCUCAGUGGUUUCGCCACCUGCUGCACAAGGACCUGAGUUCAAUCCCGGGUACCAAAAAAAAAAAGGGAAGGGUGGGGCUGGGGGUGUGUUUCAGUACAAAGCGGCCCCCAAAGAGACACACCCUGAAACAGGACUGAAAUGACAGUGUCUGCAGUUUACUGUGGAUGCUGGGGCGCACAGUCCUGGGGGGUCCUACCCAGCUGCUGUCAGGUGCCAGGCGUGGCUCUGCCCUUUUAAGUUCAAAUUCAUUCAAAUGAAAGAAAUUAGGGCAAAAGACUCAAACAGGUAUUUCUCCAAAGAAAAUCUACAAGUGGCCAAUAUGCCAUGCAGAGGUGCUUGGCCUGAGUAACUGCUGGAGAAACUCAGUCCAAGCCACAGUCCAAGCCGCCUCCCAUCUCAGCAUGGCUGCUGUCAAGAGGGAGGACAGGCCGCUGGCCAGGACCUUCAGGAAUGCAGAAGGCAUGGCAGCCCUGGGAAACGGUUUGGCGGGGCCUCCAAACAUAAAAAUAGAAUGAGCACAUGAUCCGGCCCCUCCACUUCGAGGACACCCAGUAGAAGGAAGAGGGCUCAGGAGAGGCCUGCACUACCAGGUUCAGGGGAGCAGCCCAAGUCACACAGCUCAGAGGAGAAUGAACAGGUUCCCAAAAUGUGUUGAAUUAAAGAAGGGGAUUCCUGAGCUGGGUGUGGGGGUGCCUCCCUGUAAUUCCACCCACCAGUGGGGAGGCUGAGGCAGGAAGAUCACUAAGUCUGAGGCCAGCCUGGGCUACAAAGCAAGACCCUGUGUGAAAAAAGCAAACACACAGACAAAAAGGGAAUCCUGACAGACACACACUACCACAUCAAGCCAAGUGAGACAGCCAGUCACACAAAGCCAGGUCUGUAGGAGGCGGCCCAUGCACAGGCAGAGCAGGGCGGGGCCAGGCCGGAAUCCUUGCUCAAUGGGCAGAGCUUUAGUUUGGAAAGAUGAGGAGCCCGGGAGAUGGGUGGUAAUGAGCUGCACUGCACAAAUUCCUCAGCACCCUGAAACGCACACAUCACACAGGUCAGCUUGGUCAGAUCCUGCCUCAAAAUAAAAUAUGCAAAGGGCUGGGGACACAGCUCAGGGGGAAGGCCCGGGCCCAGUGCCCAGCCCCGGUACAAACAGAUAAAUAAGGGUAAGCUGUAACAGGAACACUUCAGGUUGUAUCUUACAAUAUAAAACCCGUAGAGAGGCAAUUAGGGACAUCAAAGUUUUAAAUACAACACAUAUAGGGCCAGGGAUUUAGCUCAGGGGUGCCGCGACUGCCUCAGAAGUGCAAGGCCCUGAGUUGGAUCCCUGGUACCAGGGAAAAAAAUAAAAUGUAUAUAAAUAUAAAAUCGAGUGAAAUGAAGCACUCGGUUCUCAGUUACACUGGCCACACUGCAAGUGUGCAGGGCGCCUCUGGCUGGUGGCCUCCGGGGGCGG
ensembl:lncRNA